GAUUAACGCUGGCGGCGUGCAUAACACAUGCAAGUCGAACGAUGAAACUCAUUAGAUUUCUUCGGAAUGAAAAUGAAUGGAUUAGUGGCGAACGGGUGAGUAACGCGUGAGUAACCUGCCUUACACAAGGGGAUAGCCUCUGGAAACGGAGAAUAAUACCCUAUGAAACCAGACAAUCGCAUGAUAAUCUGGUCAAAAUGUUUAGUGGUGUAAGAUGGACUUGCGUCUGAUUAGCUAGUUGGUGAGAUAAAAGCUCACCAAGGCAACGAUCAGUAGCCGGCUUGAGAGAGUGUACGGCCACAUUGGGACUGAGACACGGCCCAGACUCCUACGGGAGGCAGCAGUGGGGAAUUUUGCACAAUGGGGGAAACCCUGAUGCAGCGACGCCGCGUGAUUUAGAAGGCCUUCGGGCUGUAAAAAUCUUUUGUAUAGGAAGAAAAUGACAGUACUAUACGAAUAAGGUCCGGCUAAUUACGUG
rnacentral:rRNA from 1 species